GUAUGUGCUCCUAAUUGGGCUGUGACAUCUGUGUCCCAUUAAUUAAUUGCCACAGUUGACUCAGCUGAUCUAGUUGGCUAGGUGGGUGUUCCCCUCCUCCCCCACUGUUCCAAAUGCAUCUCUCCCAAAGUUGCACACUCAGAGAGUAUUAGCUUCCCCAAUAGAGGUGGACUGUUCUUCUGUCAAAGGUUUUUGAACAUGUGCACUCCCCUGCUAGAACUUCCAAACCUGAUGGGAAUAUGACCAACAUACCAUAGGCUCAUACAGUAAAGUACACAAUCAAUAAAAAAGUAGUAGAGAAAGGAAAGGAGGAGGGUACUU
rnacentral:snRNA from 1 species